rnacentral:rRNA from 1 species
GAGUCGAGUUGUUUGGGAAUGCUGCUCAAAAUGGGAGGUAAACCCCUUCUAAAGCUAAAUACUGGCCAGAGACCGAUAGCGCACAAGUAGAGUGAUCGAAAGAUGAAAAGCACUUUGAAAAGAGAGUUAAAAAGCACGUGAAAUUGUUGAAAGGGAAGCGCUUGCGACCAGACUCGCGCCCGUCGGAUCAGCCGUCGCUUGCGGCGGUGCACUCCGGCGGGCUCGGGCCAGCAUCAGUUCGCCUCGGGGGGAGAAAGGCGGCAGGAAUGUGGCUCUUCGGAGUGUUAUAGCCUGCCGUAUAAUACCCCCGGGCGGACUGAGGACCGCGCGUAUGCAAGGAUGCUGGCGUAAUGG